rnacentral:rRNA from 1 species
CGAAGGGGGCUAGCGUUGUUCGGAAUGACUGGGCGUAAAGGGUGUGUAGGCGGUUAGACACGUCAGAUGUGAAAUCCCCGGGCUUAACCUGGGAAUGGCAUUUGAUACGGUAUAGCUAGAGAUUGGUAGAGGGUAGAGGAAUUGCGAGUGUAGAGGUGAAAUUCGUAGAGAUUCGCAGGAACACCGGUGGCGAAGGCGGCUACCUGGGCCAAUACUGACGCUGAGGCACGAGAGCGUGGGGAGCAAACAGGAUUAGAUACCCUGGUAGUCCACGCUGUAAACGAUGAGUGCUAGAUGCUGCAUGUAACCACAUGCAGUGUCGUAGCUAACGCAUUAAGCACUCCGCCUGGGGAGUACGGUCGCAAGAUUA